rnacentral:lncRNA from 1 species
GCGGAAAUGCUCCUGACAGCAGACACCAACACAAGUUUGCUCUGUCUUUUCUAAUAACGCUGCAAGCUCAUUACUCAAACUGGAAUAAGGAGACCAGAGAUCCCUAAUGUCUGCUGAGAUUCAGACAGAGGAGAAGUGGUGACUGCAAAAUGUCCAGUGAAGCAUUCACUUUUCUACAGGUCAUAGCCGUUGUGUCCAGAAGGAGCCAAGAGCCAAGAAGAACAGAGCCUCCCAAGCAGGCCUGUAUUUUCCCAAGGCUGCCUCCAUGGCCAGCUGAGGAGGGGUGGAAUUCAGAGAGUGAAUGUGGAGGUGCCCAUCUACAUGGCUGCCAUACUGCACUACCCCUCAGGCCAAGUGCAGGAGCUGGCCGGCAGCAUGGCUCUGCAAGCCAAGAAAAGCAGGGUGACCAUACCCAAGAUCGAGGCCAGUCAUGUCCAGCUGGCUGUGCACAGCAGUGAAAGCUCAAGAGGAUGUGCUCCUGUGUGGCCAUCACCAGAGUGGUGUCUUCCCCUACAGCCUUCUGAGCUCAUUCCCAACAAAGUGGUGAAGAAAUCCAAGGUCCUGUCCUAGGAAUUCUGAUUUGAGGGCGAUCAAUCUCUUGGCCUUGUUCAGUGUCACACAGCCCCUGUCUCAAUUUAGGAUGUGUGUUGUCCUAUAAAUGAGCAUCACUACAUUUUAGAAUGUAUUUGAGUUACAGGUAUUUUUAGAUUUAACCUAAGUGGUUACUCAUAAAGCACAUCCUGUAAGAUCAUAAAUAGGAAAUUCUUCCUUAUGUAUUUUGCCUUCACCAUGUACAUGCAAGACCAAGGAUAUAAGGAUGUCUUGCCCUAAUAAGCCGUGAUUAUUUCUGCUGGUUAUUCAAACUGGGGUAAUGCUGGCGUUUAACCAUGUGGUCCCUCUAGAGGAGGCUGCUGGGAAGGAGUUGUCCAGCAAAGGCCACCUGAACUUGGCCUCCGGACCUUUGGGAGCUGACAGUAUCCUGCUUACUGUCAGUCUCAACCAUUGCCACAGACCACUGUCUGAUAUAGGAUGUAUGACAAUUUUUCACUUUUAUGUGGAACUUGGCUUUUAAAGCUUUUUCAAAUAUACAAUAAAUAGGACA